rnacentral:rRNA from 1 species
UCUGGUGAUUGUAGCGAUAUGGUCCCACCCGUUCCCAUCCCGAACACGGAAGUGAAACGUAUCAGCGCCGACGAUACUUACCUGGAGACGGGUUGGGAAAAUAGGUCAUCACCAGUU